rnacentral:rRNA from 1 species
GAUGAACGCUGGCGGCGUGCUUAACACAUGCAAGUCGUACGGUAAGGCCCUUUCGGGGGUACACGAGUGGCGAACGGGUGAGUAACACGUGAGUAACCUGCCCACAACUUUGGGAUAACGCUAGGAAACUGGUGCUAAUACUGGAUAUGUGCUCCUGCUGCAUGGUGGGGGUUGGAAAGCUCCGGCGGUUGUGGAUGGACUCGCGGCCUAUCAGCUUGUUGGUGGGGUAGUGGCCUACCAAGGCGGCGACGGGUAGCCGGCCUGAGAGGGUGACCGGCCACAUUGGGACUGAGAUACGGCCCAGACUCCUACGGGAGGCAGCAGGGGGGAAUAUUGCACAAUGGGCGCAAGCCUGAUGCAGCAACGCCGCGUGCGGGAGGACGGCCUUCGGGUUGAAAACCGCUUUCAGCAGGGACGAAGCUUUUUGUGACGGUACCUGCAGAAGAAGCACCGGCUAACUACGUG